ensembl:lncRNA
AUAUCAUAUUACCAUUUUGUUUUUUUUUAUGUUAAUAUCUUAUUUUUACUUGGGUUUUUUUCCCUACACAAAACAAAUUCUGUUAUUAUUUUAUCAUGCUCUAUAUGUAUCAGUACAAAAACUACAAAUGUCGACUUGGGGUAAUAAUAGAGGAAAUACUUGUAUUAAUAGUAGUAAUAGUAGUAGCAGCAGUAGUAGUAGCAGCAGUAGUAGUAGUAGUAGUAGUAGUUAUAAGAAUAAUGUUAAUAAUAAAAAACACAAUUGUAAUAAAACAUAUAAACAAAACAUAAUGAUCCAAAAACAACAACAACAUUUCAUAUAUCAGUAUGAUACGUAUAUAAACAUAAAAAAAAUGCAAAAACAUUAUACAACACAUGUAAAUAAGCAUAUAUUAUCAUUAAAUAACGCCAAACUUAAGAAAAAUGUUUCGUCAAUUAGUUUAAACAAAUUGCUAUUUAGUACUAAUUAUAUUAAAUGUGAUGUUUUAAAAAAUGCAAUGCAAAAAGAGAAAAGUUUGAAUUGUUUAAACAUUGAAAGGGAAAACAGUGAUAGUAGUAAUAAAACCAAACGUAACAACAGUAACAACAGUUAUAAUAACUAUUUUUACCAGAACUUAGUAAAGUAUAAAAAGAAAAAAGGUAAAGCAGAGCGAAAAAAUGUUAUGGCAAGUAUAAAUUUUUUAAUAAAUUUUUUUUAUGAAUUAUUAAUAAAAUUUUUAUGUGAAAUAAAUUACAAAUUAUAUAAUGAAAAGGUUGAUUUAUUUUUAUUUCCAAAUAAGAAGAACACAGAUAUAUAUAUAAGAAUACAUGAGUUUAUUAAUAAUUAUGAUGGCUCAUGUACAUUAAUUUAUAGUAAAUAUAAUGAAGCAAUUAUAUCAAAAAAAAAAGAAAAAAAAAAUAUACUAUUAGGAAUAAUUGACAUAAAUUUUGAUAAUGAAAAGAAUAAGGUUUGUUUUUUAUUUUUAGAUAUAAUUAAUUUAUUUUUUAAUAUAUACUAUUGUUUGCUUUUUAUGACAAUUAGUCUAAAAAAAAAAAAAACAAUUUUCAUAAAUAAAAAAAAACAGUAUAAAAAAUAUCUGCUUAAUAUAAUUUAUGUUUUAUUUUUUCACAUAGCAGUAAAAAUGAAAAAAGAAAAAAAAAAAAAAAAAAGUCAAAUGCAAUUUUUAAAAAAAAAUUCUUUUUAUAGUAAUUACAACGAUCGCGAAAACAUUGACAAUCAUAACAACAUUAUUAGUAACGUGAGCAAAAACAGUGACUUUAUUUUUAAACUUAAAAACAGACUAAUAAAAAUCGAAAAAAAACGUUUAGUUAUUAUUUGCUGCGUUUUUUGUAUUAUACAAUAUGUGAGUUAUUUUAAAUAUAUAAAAAAAAACAUAGAAACAAAUUUUAUUUAUAUACUAAAUUAUUUAAACCUUAUUCAAAAUUCUUCCUCCAAUCUUAAACAAAGCCAGAAUGAAAAUGUGUUUCCUAAAAGUAUACAUGAAAUUUACAAAACUAUUAUAAAAAACUUGCCAACAAGGAAUAUGUCAUUUAAGUAAGUACAUUUUGAGUAUAUACAUAUGUAUAUAUUCAUGUACACAUGUAUAGAUUUAUAUAUAUAUAUGUAUAUGUUAGUAUAGACAUGUGUAAUUAUAAUUCAGCAUGCAUGCACAUGCGUGUGCUUACACAUAUGUAUACAUAUACAUAUUACAAAAAAAGUAAAAAGAAAAUUACACACAUAUUUUUUUUUAUUAUUCUUUUAUUUCAAACAUUUUAUUUUUGUGGCCACUUUUUUUGGUCAUUUUUUGUUGUCAUUGUUUGUGAUCUUUUUUGUAGCCUUUUUUUGUGGUCUUUUUUUGUGGCCUUUUUUUGUGGUUAUUUUUUGUGGUUAUUUUUUGUGGUUAUUUUUUGUGGUUAUUUUUUGUGGUCUUUUAUUUUUUUUUAAACAACAUUAUUCACUUAGUUUGCAUUUAAUAGUUC